rnacentral:misc_RNA from 1 species
GAUGAAGAACGUAGCGAAAUGCGAUAAGUAGUGUGAAUUGCAGAAUUCAGUGAAUCAUCGAAUCUUUGAACGCACCUUGCACUCUUUGGUAUUCCGAAGAGUAUGUCUGUUUGAGUGUCAUGAAACUCUCAACCCCCUCAUUUUGUAACGAAAUGUAGCGUGGGCUUGGAUUAUGGCUGUCUGUCGGCGUAAAUGCCGGCUCAGCUGAAAUACACGAGCAACCCAGUUUAAAUACCUGACGGCUUGACUCGGCGUAAUAACUAUUUCGCUGAGGACGUCAAACCUUUAAAUCGUCAGUGGUGCUUCUAAUGCAUUAUUUUAAUUUAAGCUUUAGACCUCAAAUCAGUCAGGACUACCCGCUGAACUUAAGCAUAUCAAUAAGCGGAGGA